CUACGGGUCGCAGCAGUAGGGAAUCUUAGACAAUGGGGGAAACCCUGAUCUAGCCAUGCCGCGUGAGUGAUGAAGGCCUUAGGGUUGUAAAGCUCUUUCGCUGGGGAAGAUAAUGACGGUACCCAGUAAAGAAACCCCGGCUAACUCCGUGCCAGCAGCCGCGGUAAUACGGAGGGGGUUAGCGUUGUUCGGAAUUACUGGGCGUAAAGCGCGCGUAGGCGGGCUAUUAAGGCAGGGGUGAAAUCCCGGGGCUCAACCCCGGAACUGCCUUUGAUACUGGUAGUCUUGAGUUCGAGAGAGGUGAGUGGAAUUCCGAGUGUAGAGGUGAAAUUCGUAGAUAUUCGGAGGAACAUCAGUGGCGAAGGCGACUCACUGGCUCGAUACUGACGCUGAGGUGCGAAAGUGUGGGGAGCAAACAGGAUUAGAUACCCUGGUAGUC
rnacentral:rRNA from 1 species